AGAGCCCGGAGAUGGAUUCUGAGACACGAAUCCAGGCCCUACGGGGUGCAGCAGGCGCGAAAACUUUACAAUGCCGGCAACGGCGAUAAGGGGACCUCGAGUGCCAGGUUACAAAUCUGGCUGUCGUGAUGCCUAAAAAGCAUUGCAUAGCAAGGGCCGGGCAAGACCGGUGCCAGCCGCCGCGGUAACACCGGCGGCUCGAGUGGUAACCGUUAUUAUUGGGUCUAAAGGGUCUGUAGCCGGCCGGAUAAGUCUCUUGAGAAAUCCAGCAGCUCAACUGUUGGGCUUUCAGGAGAUACUGUUCGGCUCGAGGCCGGGAGAGGUGAGAGGUACUUCAGGGGUAGGGGUGAAAUCUUGUAAUCCUUGAAGGACCACCAGUGGCGAAGGCAUCUCACCAGAACGGCUCCGACAGUGAGGAACGAAAGCUGGGGGAGCAAACCGGAUUAGAUACCCGGGUAGUCCCAGCUGUAAACGAUGCGCGUUAGGUGUAUCGGUGACCACGAGUUACCGAGGUGCCGAAGGGAAACCGUGAAACGCGCC
rnacentral:rRNA from 1 species